UACGGAGGGUGCGAGCGUUGUUCGGAAUUACUGGGCGUAAAGCGCGUGCAGGCGGUCGAUUAAGUCCGGUGUGAAAGCCCGGGGCUCACCCCCGGAAGUGCGCUGGAAACUAAUCAACUAGAGUACGGGAGAGGGAAGUGGAAUUCCUGGUGUAGCGGUGAAAUGCGUAGAUAUCAGGAGGAACACCGGCGGCGAAGGCGGCUUCCUGGACCGAUACUGACGCUGAGACGCGAAAGCGUGGGGAGCGAACAGG
rnacentral:rRNA from 1 species